AAUCAACGCUGGCGGCGUGCCUAACACAUGCAAGUCGAACGCGAAAAGGGCUUCGGCUCUUAGUAGAGUGGCAAACGGGUGAGUAACACGUGGGUGACCUACCUUCGAAUGGAGGAUAACGUCCCGAAAGGGACGCUAAUACCGCAUAACAUCCUGCCUUUGAACAGGUGGAGAUCAAAGCCGGGGAUCGCAAGACCUGGCGUUUGAAGAGGGGGCCCGCGUCUGAUUAGCUAGUGGUGAGGUAACGGCUCACCAAGGCGACGAUCAGUAUCCGGCCUGAGAGGGCGGACGGACACACUGGGACUGAGACACGGCCCAGACUCCUACGGGAGGCAGCAGUGGGGAAUUGUUCGCAAUGGGCGCAAGCCUGACGACGCAA
rnacentral:rRNA from 1 species